UACGUAGGGGGGCAAGCGUUGUCCGGAAUCAUUGGGCGUAAAGAGCGUGUAGGCGGCUCGGUAAGUCCGUUCUGAAAGUCCAGGGCUCAACCCUGGGAUGCGGAUGGAUACUGUCGGGCUCGAGUCCGGAAGAGGCGAGUGGAAUUCCCGGUGUAGCGGUGAAAUGCGCAGAUAUCAGGAGGAACACCGGUGGCGAAGGCGGGUCUCUGGGCCGAUACUGACGCUGAGGAGCGAAGCGUGGGAGCAAACAGG
rnacentral:rRNA from 1 species